UACGGGGGGAGCAAGCGUUGUUCGGAUUUACUGGGCGUAAAGGGCGCGUAGGCGGUCAGCACAAGUCAGUUGUGAAAUCUCCGGGCUUAACUCGGAAAGGUCAACUGAUACUGUGCGACUAGAGUGCGGAAGGGGCAACUGGAAUUCUCGGUGUAGCGGUGAAAUGCGCAGAUAUCAGGAGGAACACCGGUGGCGAAGGCGGUUCUCUGGGCAUGAUCUGACGCUGAGGAGCGAAAGUGUGGGGAGCGAACAGG
rnacentral:rRNA from 1 species